rnacentral:tRNA from 1 species
GUUUAGAUAGUUUAUUUAGAAUAGCAAUUUGUGGAAUUGCAGGUGUUGUAUAACUUUAAACC